UUUGGACUUUUGAAUGAAAUU
rnacentral:piRNA from 1 species